CAACAGGCCCUUUGGUGAGCACUCCCAGGGCCAUGCAUACAUAAAAUAAGAUAUAGU
rfam:Candidatus Brocadia fulgida BROFTL_contig000222, whole genome shotgun sequence.